rnacentral:rRNA from 1 species
GUAGGCAGCGAGCGUUGUUCGGAGUUACUGGGCGUAAAGGGUGUGUAGGCGGUUCUUUAAGUUUGGUGUGAAAUCUCCCGGCUCAACCGGGGGGGUGCGCCGAAUACUGAGGGACUAGAGUACGGGAGAGGAAAGUGGAAUUCCUGGUGUAGCGGUGAAAUGCGUAGAUAUCAGGAGGAACACCGGUGGUGUAGACGGCUUUCUGGACCGCCACUGACGCUGAGACACGAAAGCGUGGGUAGCAAACAGGAUUAGAUACCCUGGUAGUCCACGCCCUAAACGAUGCAUAUUUGGUGUAGGUCAUUCAGUUGAUCUGUGCCGGAGCUAACGCGUUAAAUAUGCCGCCUGGGGAGUACAGUCGCAAGGCUG